rnacentral:ncRNA from 1 species
GGCUAGUAAGCGCUAGGCUAAAGUGUGGCGUCCGAAGGGAUCAGCAGCCUAACAGAAGUUAGGAAACUCACUCUAGGGACUAGCCUCCUC